rnacentral:rRNA from 1 species
CCUACGGGGAGCUGCAGUGGGGAAUAUUGGGCAAUGGGCGCAAGCCUGACCCAGCAACGCCGCGUGAAGGAAGAAGGCUUUCGGGUUGUAAACUUCUUUUCUCAGGGACGAAGCUAGUGACGGUACCUGAGGAAUAAGCCACGGCUACCUACGUGCCAGUAGCCGCGGUAAUAAGUAGGUGGCAAGCGUUAUCCGGGAUUACUGGGUGUCAAGGGCGUGUAGGCGGGGACGCAAGUCAGAUGUGAAAACCACGGGCUCAACCUGUGGCCUGCAUUUGAAACUGUGAUGCUUGAGUGCGGGAGAGGCAGACGGAAUUCCUAGUGUAGCGGUGAAAUGCGUAGAUAUUAGGAGGAACACCAGUGGCGAAGGCGGUCUGCUGGACAGCAACUGACGCUGAGGCGCGACAGCGUGGGGAGCAAACAGGAUUAGAUACCCCUGUAGUC